rnacentral:misc_RNA from 1 species
UUAUUUCCAAUGGCAUCUGCCGGGGGUUGGGAUUUGACCCUUACUUCGAACAUUAAUAUCCCAAGAGUACAUGAAGUAAGGGAGACACAUUGAUUUACCACCUCGUACAUAUGUCACAGUUGAACACACUCGACUCUACACAAGAAGUUCAUGACAAAAAACCUCCAUACAAGAAGCUAAUAUUACAAAAUAAAAUAUUCUAAGGUUUUACAUACUUUGGCGAAAUUUCUCUAAUUUAGUGGGAGGAGGACUUCCCUUUGCAAAGGCAUAUAGAACGGAUCUAUCUGUUAAAGAACCGCUCUUCAGACGUAAAAGCUGUUGUUCUUUGAUAGGAUGUAUCUAUAUAUUGAGAACAUAGAACCGAAGCCUCAGCAUUGAUAGACUCAGUUUGUACCAUCAGAAAUUCCUGGAAAUAUGGUGACAUCUAUCAAGGAAAGCUUAGUGUCAUUAAUUACUUCAAAGACACAAACAUCACCAUAUUUUAACUUAUUGUCCAGAACGAACGCCUUCCAACCACAAGUAACUUUAGCAUCUUUCCUUAGCAUAACACAUUUGACAGACCAAGAUCCUUUCCCUGGAACACGCAACACUAAAUUGCCACUGUUCCGCAUUAAAUACAUCCUAGCAAAUUUCAACGGAAUGUACAGAGCGUGUGGUUUCGAGACAUACGAUGGAUGCAUAAAAGAUACAAUGAAUGGAUUCUUAGAUUUAAAAGCUUUUGCUCUUUGAUAGUUAUCAGCUGUCCCUUCAUCCCUCUCUUCCUUUCUCUUACUGGUAACAAUGUUGGAUUGUUGCUCCUCACAAUCUUCACUUAUUACUAGUGAAACUACAUUCAGUUGAGACUCUUCUUCAUCAAUUACAAUAGUUUGACGUUCAACUGGAAUAUCAUUCUCUUCUUCCCCUUCUUGUCUUAUUCUUUUUCUCUCCUUCACUAAGGGGUCAUGGCUCAGAUAUUCAGAAGAAUACUCAACCACAUCCGAUAUAUCUAUAGAAUCAUCCGACUCAAUCUCUGCUGGUGGAUAUUCAAUUUCUGCUGCACUAAAAUCAAAUAUAGUGACAUUAAAAUGAGAACGAGCAUUGUAUCCGAACAUAAAAAAGUUCCCGCGUCUUAUUGAGUAAUAGUCGCUGAAAUCCUUCCAGCCUUCAGCUAGCCAAAUGUGGCCUUCAGAAUGUUCCAGUUCAACCUCCCAUACUUCUCCAUUGGGAACCUCAAGAUACACCGGGUUUAAUAUGUUCUUGCAAUAUCUGCUGGCAAAUCCUUUUGGAAUCCUGAGACGGCAUAAUUCAUGCGGGCUAAAAAUGAUCUUGCAGAAUUUGGGUUGAGAAGUGUAAGAAAUGGAAGAGACUUUACCAAUUUGCCUGCGGAACUUGUUUACCAUGACUG